GAUGAACGCUGGCGGCGUGCUUAACACAUGCAAGUCGAACGAUGAAGCCCAGCUUGCUGGGUAGAUUAGUGGCGAACGGGUGAGUAACACGUGAGUAACCUGCCCUUAACUCUGGGAUAAGCCUGGGAAACUGGGUCUAAUACCGGAUAGGAGCGUCCACCGCAUGGUGGGUGUUGGAAAGAUUUAUCGGUUUUGGAUGGACUCGCGGCCUAUCAGCUUGUUGGUGAGGUAAUGGCUCACCAAGGCGACGACGGGUAGCCGGCCUGAGAGGGUGACCGGCCACACUGGGACUGAGACACGGCCCAGACUCCUACGGGAGGCAGCAGUGGGGAAUAUUGCACAAUGGGCGCAAGCCUGAUGCAGCGACGCCGCGUGAGGGAUGACGGCCUUCGGGUUGUAAACCUCUUUCAGUAGGGAAGAAGCGAAAGUGACGGUACCUGCAGAAGAAGCACCGGCUAACUACGUG
rnacentral:rRNA from 1 species